AGACACCAGAUCUUACUCUCUCUUUAUUAGUUCUGACAAAGGGAAAAGUCCAUGUGAGAACACCACAGCAAGAAGUCAACAAGCCACAAGCUAGGAAGAGUUCCCUGACCAGGAACAGAAUCAGCGGCAUCUUGAUUGGGAUGCCUAUCCUUCAGAACAACAUGUCACCUGCACUCUGCUGGAGUACAGUAAUGUGAUCACGGUUAAGUGUAACCGCAAUCUCCUGGGCUCAAUUAAUCAUCCCACUUCAGUCUUUCAAGUAGGUUGGCCUACAGACCUCUCACAAAUCACCUUCACAUGCAGGAUUUCAACUAAGCUUGUCAGAAAUUUUCCAAGAAACUUGAGGUUCAAAAUAGUGGAGGCUCCCACCUCCACUGUCCCACCCACUUUAUUGCACAGAUGGUCAUAAGAAAACUAAUUGGAAUUAUGAAG
rnacentral:lncRNA from 13 species